UACGAAGGGGGCUAGCGUUGCUCGGGAAUCACUGGGCGUAAAGCGCACGUAGGCGGCUUCUUAAGUCAGGGGGUGAAAUCCUGGAGCUCAACUCCAGAACUGCCUUUGAUACUGAGGAGCUUGAGUCCGGGAGAGGUGAGUGGAACUGCGAGUGUAGAGGUGAAAUUCGUAGAUAUUCGCAAGAACACCAGUGGCGAAGGCGGCUCACUGGCCCGGUACUGACGCUGAGGUGCGAAAGCGUGGGGAGCAAACAGGG
rnacentral:rRNA from 1 species